CUGGGAAAUUAUAUUAUAUAGCCACAAAAUAAAUGAUAAUUAAAUUUAGAGUUUAGGGUUUGGAAAGAUUUCCAAAUAUAGAACACUGGAUGACAUGAAAAGCCAAGGUCCCCAAACGAAUUCACAGAGAAAUUUCUUUGCUAUGGCUAGCAUCGGAGCAUGAUUUUGACAACGAACGACCACUGUAGGUCUCCCACGAUGGGCUAUAGACACGUCAUCCAACGAAAAAGUGAGGAACGCCACCGUCAAAGGAACAACGGAGAGAAGAUCGCUCGACAUUUCACCAUGAAGACACGCCAUUAAUUUCAGUCAGAAAUAAGAACACAAAAAUAAAAUAGGGUUUUCUGCAAAAAAACCCUCAAUGUGGU
rnacentral:lncRNA from 1 species